UAAGCGUUCACGUUAGGGUCACACAAUCAAUUACCUCCUGAAUGUAUUGUCUCUAUUUGUAAUAUCUGAACACACAAGAAAACUAUAAUCUCUUCCUUCAUCUUAUCAGUCUCUUCCUUACAACAAUUCAGUCAUACCAAUAACUGCUAUUUCCACCAAUAUAUUAACCCUCAUAAUCUCCAAUUAUAAUACUACACCCUUACAACUUUCAGCACACAAUUACCCUCGUUCCAAUCACUGGAAUUCUUCACACAUAACUGCCAUUCACAUUACAAUGUUUCACACAAACAUAGACUCAUUCUCUCUGCUGAACUACAAUCAGAUUUCAGCAUUUAAA
rnacentral:lncRNA from 1 species